UUCGUUGAGCAAGCCACUUCAAGAUUCAGUCAGUCUGGGACAACCACGUCGAGAUUAGGCAAAUCUCUCCAAAGGUAGUUGGCCAGGGGCAUUCCCUCAAAGAUCAACCAGUCAGAGGAAAAAUCCAUUCAAGGUUUCAUACCAGGGAAGACCACCUCAAAAGCAUGAGAAAGUCAAAACACUCCAAGAGAUGGAUGAGUAGGGGUAGGCAGACCAAGAC
rnacentral:lncRNA from 1 species